AGACAUUAAACUUCCACUAUUUACAUUCCACCCCUAGGUGGCGGCAGCAGGCGCCAACAGGUGCUUGGAGACCAUCAGCAAGGCUUGAGAAGAAAGCUGGAGGCAUAUGCUGCAGACAAAGCGGGGGACCUCCUCUCCCCCUCCCUCUCAGUGUGCUGUCCCUGUGUUGAUCAGCAGAGAGAGACUAAUGAUGGGCAGGUUAUCCCCCCACGUGUGAAGACCCAGGAUUCAAAGGUCAUAUCACCCCCACCCCCACAAGCCACCGAACUCCGCCAUACCUCUGCCGAUAUUGAAAACCAAUCAGGGCCUUCCUUCAGGCAAUUUGUUGUGGUGGUCAGAAGGGGUGGAAGGGGGAGUAUAAGUGGGAUAGGAAUAGGAAACAGGCUGAGAGGGAAGGUGUUUGUGUGUAGGAGGGGGGUUGGGUGGUGGGUGGCAGUGGGGAGGGGGAUACUGAUGAUUCUCCAUCUGCCCGACAAGGACCUUAGGGAGGCAAUCUGUUAUUUUUGAAAAGCACUUGUCGAUGGUGAGAAGUUAUAGAGGCUCUAUCCGGCCAUUUACUGCUUGAUGUUGUUCAUUUAUAAACAUGAAAAGACCCCUUUCUCCGGGUAAACAGUUUGACCCUGCGGACGGCAGGUCACUGUUAUUAUGUGAUAGAGAUUUGAGAAGGUGAUGUGUAGUCUACCUCACUCAGCAGUUUGGUGUCAGUGCUGGAUCAUGCUACGGCAGGGCUUUUUUUUUAACACGAAACGUAAGAAAAAAGCUGAAACCGGGAGGGACUUCCUAGAUUUUCUGUUUUAAGACAUUUGCCAUUGCGUUCCCUAACAUGAACCAGGCAUCACAGCCUUCUCAAUCUAAGGCAGUGAUUCCCAAACCUCUCCUUGAGUACACCCAGCCAUUCCACUUAUUUCAAUGUAUUCCAGUUCUAGCACACCUCAUUAAAUUGAUCAACUAAACACCGAGCCAUUCAUUAGUUGAAAUCAGGUAUGCUAGCACUGGAACACAUCAAAUAGGUGGAAUGUGGGGGUACUCCAGGGGAGGUUUGGGAAACACUGAUCUACAAAACGACCAGUGAUUAUGUUUUUGACCCUACUAACUAGUCAUCUUUUGCAUAAUAUUAGCUGCCUGUUGUGUGGUACACUAUGCCAUUGAUACUGACACAGUUUUGAGGCAUCGGUAGGGAUUGUGAUAAACAGUUCAAAUUAGAUGACAAUGGUAUGUACGUAUCUCUGUAGCACAAGACACACACAUACACACACUGAAAAGUAGAGUCCUCCCUGUGAUCUGUUACCUGAGAGAUCCUGGGGCGGAGGAGUCUAAUACAGGUGUGAUGUCAUUGUGCUAAACACACACAUACACACACACACACAUACAGUACACACACACCAUCUAUUUUUGUGAAGGGUCUGGUAGUCAUCGUCUCUCGCCGAUAAAGUCUGUUAUUUCCUUAUGUGGCAAUGUGGGUAUUUAUAUGUAGAGAAGAUCUCCACCACCGAGAGAGAAAAGAACAAUGAGAGAGAGAGGCUACUGCCUCUACAGGUUUGAGGCCACAGACAACGCUGUUUCUUCCCCCCUCCCUUUCUCCCCCGUUCCUCUUUCCUUUCCUCUAUCCCCCGGCCUUGCUACAUCCUUCUCUCAUCCUCCUCUCUCUCGUAGACAUUAGCUAGGUUUCCAUGAACUUUUCCAGCAAUUUUUUGGGGGGGACAUUUAGAAAGUUCACAUAGAAAACAGAUGUGACAAUUGCCUGCUACAAUGUGUUUCCAUUGAACUAUCUUGUGUCGAUAAAACAGCUGGAUGUAAUGAAGUCACACCUAAAAAAAAUGUUUUAAAAGAACUUACUUUCGCAAAAAACUACAGUGUCGACUAAAAAUGAACUUGAAGUGUUUCCAUUACCCAUUUAGGCAAAAUGCGCAUUAAUAAAUUGUCGACAGCCUAUAUGCCAUCCCACCUUUCUGUUUCAUGUCUCAGGUAGCCCGCAUAGAGACAAUGCAAGAAUUUACUCAUAUUUGCCAUAUUCUAAUCAUUCUCAUGUGCCAAUGUAUCACCACAGUCUGUGUCAUGGUGAUUUAUUUUUUAGGGGGUGGAUCAGCUUUAAUAUCGAGAAUAAAUUGUUGCUUC
rnacentral:lncRNA from 1 species